AGCUUUACUCAGUGGCAGCAUCAUAGCCAAUGAGGUUUAUCUGAGGUGCGAUUAUUGCUAACUGAAAAAUUUUCCCACUGUAGAUUAUCUAGAGUUUCAUGCAAAUGGAAUUAUGCAACAUGUGUACUUUUUUUGUUUAA
rnacentral:snRNA from 1 species